AAAAUUAUAUUUUCGUAUAAAAUGUUAUAAUUUUUGAUGUUUUUCGACUAGUUCUUAGAAAAAAUUACAAUCAAAAGUAAGCAAUUACGCAUUGAUUAUACAACCCAUAAAACACAAAAGUAAAUUUUAGUAUACAAAAUUUUUUCAUGGUUGCAUUAAUCGUCCACCGAGGGCGCGCAAUAAGGUUCUGUCUUUUUUGUUUUCAUGGCCACUAUGCAGAAACAGUUAUCAUGGAGAAUGAAACGGCCUUAUAAGCGCAGCUUGUUGAUUCAGAUGGCCUUGGGGUAUAUUUUUGUAUGGCAUCCUCUAUACUUACCUUGACUAACUUUCUAUUUAAAACAGUUUACUAUAUAGGAGACUUGAUCCUAUUUUUCUAAAUAGAGCAUAGAUGGCUGGUUUAUAGCAAUCUGGUUUAUGGUAUUACAGAUUUCUAUUACAUAUGUAUGUUUAAUUUCUGUUUUAUUCAUUUAAUAAUAACAAUAUUUAGUUUGUGCAAACUGUGAAUUUGUGGAAAUCUUCAGAUAAGUUUAAUUUCAUCGUUCAUUAAUAUUUGUGUAAGACGUAAGACUAUUUUUUAUAAUUCGUAGGUGACAGAAAUCUAAAAAAUGAAAAUUUGAGGUUAUAGUAACGCUACAAUGGGAAUAAAAAACAAAUCACAAAAUAUGAAGAUAUUUAUCAAGAGUGUAAAAUUAAAGCUUGGUAGUAUAAAAUAUAGUUCGGAAUAUGAAAUACAGAUUUAAUAAAAAUUACUAGUUUUAUUUAAUAUUUAGUAUGGCAUGUUAUUUUAUACUUUCUGGGUUUUACAAGUUUAAUAAAUCAUAAAAAGUAAUCGUAAUGUUUUAUUUAUAUUUGAUACGAAUUUGCAAUAAAACCAUUUUGCUUAAUAAUCAUUUGUUUUAGGUUAGAACAAAGUGAUUUUGAUCAUUUGGAAACAACAAAACCGAUGUAACUAUGAAACAUUACCCCAACCUUGGAGUAAUGUUUAACAUUUUUUUCUUGCUUUUUUCUUUUCUGCAUUCUGUAUAAAAUGUUGCAUGCUCGUAAAUUUACGAUGUCAUGUGUUUGUCGUUGUUUUACGUUACAUACAUUUUUUUAUUGUAGAAAUGAUCAGUAAUUCGCAACUUCAAACUGGUGAUGUUUCAUCAGAUUCAUUUAAAAAGCGUAAACAAAGAACAUCUUUUACAUACCAAGCUUUGGACCGAUUAAACGCCUUCUUUGAAAAAAAUCAACGACCUUCAGGUCUGGAAUUCACAAGAUUGGCCAAGGAACUGGGUUAUGAUAGAAGAGUGAUUAGAAUUUGGUUUUGUAAUAAGAGACAAGCAUUAAGAAAAGUAAUGUCGUGAAAAUGUUAUUAAAAAAACUUUCAUAAUUUAGUAUCUAGGUGCUUAAUUUUAUAUUUUUACAAUUAGGAAUCACUAAAUAAUUUGUGUAGGUUUAAAUGUUUAUGAUUAAAUUAUUUAAAUAAGUUUUUAUAGUGUUAUACAAAUUCGCUAGUCCGCUCUGUCGGGCAUAAAGUAAUAAAAAACACAUUGUUAAA